rnacentral:rRNA from 1 species
CACGUGGAUAACCUGCCCUAUGAUCUGGGAUAACACUUCGAAAGGGGUGCUAAUACCGGAUAAGCCUACACAAUCUUCGGAGCGAGUAGGAAAAGAUUUAUCGUCAUAGGAUGGGUCCGCGGUCCAUUAGCUAGUUGGUGGGGUAACGGCCUACCAAGGCUACGAUGGAUAGCUGGUCUGAGAGGAUGAUCAGCCACACUGGAACUGAGACACGGUCCAGAUUCCUACGGGAGGCAGCAGUGGGGAAUUUUGCGCAAUGGGGGAAACCCUGACGCAGCAACGCCGCGUGAAGGAUGAAGG